AUUGAACGCUGGCGGCAUGCUUUACACAUGCAAGUCGAACGGUAACAGGCCUUCGGGUGCUGACGCUUGGCGAACUGGUUAGUAAUGCAUCGGAACUUUCCCUGAGGUGGGGGUUAACGCAGCUAAAGCUGUGCUAAUACCGCACUUUAUCUGAUUAUGAAAGUGGGGGUCCAAGCAUCAAUUUUUGGCCUCGCUCUUCUUGUGCCUCCGAUUUCAGAUUAGGUAGUUGGUGGGGUUAAGGCCUACCAAGACGACGAUAUGUAGCAGGUCUGAGAUGACGACCAGUCACACUGUGAGUGAGACACGGCGCAGACUCCGACGGGAGGCAGCAGUGGGGAAUUUUGGAAAAGGGGCGCAAGCCGGAUACAGCAAUGCGGAGUGCGGGAAGAAGGCAUUCGGGUUGUAAACCGAUUUUGUACGGAAAGAAAAGGCUCUGGCUAAUACAUGGGGCUGAUGAAGGUACCGUAAGAAUAAGCACCGGCUAAAUACGUG
rnacentral:rRNA from 1 species